CCAUAUUGUAUUAGCAGUCGUCGAUAUCCCCAAAGUCCCAAACCCCUAAAUCUCCUCUGACGCGUCUCCGCCCAUCUCUGACCAAAAUUUCCACCGUCUUUCAGCCAUAAAACGUCCACUAAAACACCAUGCAAAAGACCAUCUUCUUCCCCUGUUAAACCAGCAUCGAUUGCUCGGAGAAAACCCAUAUUUCAAUCUCUUUGUUAGAGAAAACGAAAUUGUGUAAAAACCUUUUUGGCGAUAUUCGACUGCUCGAAGAAUAAAUUUCUGAAAUUUUUUGGCGUCUGAAACUCCAAGGAAGCAAAGAAACUAACAUCAUUCCACGACUUAGGAUUGAGCGGGUGAAAUCACAGGUGACUGUUUGUUCUUUUCCUUAACAAUUUCCUCAAGUUUGGUGUUUGAAGAAUCCCUUUCUCCGGCUUUUUAAGAGGUUGUUGGGACUGGAUUUGGGAUCUUCUAAUAUUUUAGCAGCUCUUGGUGACGUUAAUAUACAUCAGCAAAUCAGAAAAUCAGAAUUCUUCAUUUCUGUUAGAUAGAGUCAUGAAUCAGGAAGGGCACUCAAGUAAAAACAAAAAAGCUAAAAAUUGCAUUGCAGCCAGAUCACUUGCAUCUUUGCUGAACCAAAAAGUUUCAUCGUUGAAAACAAAAAGAGUUGUUCAAGCUACAAGGACAAAUGACAAGCAUCAUCUGAAUUUAAUUGAAAAACAACUUCAGCGAUUAGGAGCUCAAGUGGAAUAUCAAUUGUUGCAACUGCCUCAGCCUUCUGCUUCUCCUCCAACACAAACUGUACAUGAACAUGUGCAGUAAAAGUCACAGAACUCUACCUCUCUUGCAUCACAAGCAAUGCGUGAACAAUUGCAGCAACUGCCACUGGAUUCCACCACUCGUACUUCACAAAUUAUACAUGAACAAUUUGAGGAUUCUUCCAAUCAUGAAACAAACGAACAAUCCGAGGAACAAAUCAAGAACAUAUAAAUUUUAUUUCAUUAAAUUAACAAACAAUAUGGACGUGAUAUAUGGUGAUUAUUCUUACUUAAUAUUAAUGCAGGUCCUUCUGCCGAAAAAUGAAAAAGAAGAAAAACUCUGAUGCCAAGUGUUGCAUGGUAGGAAAGAGCGCAAGCUAAUUGUGCUAAACGAGAACAAUCAACCCAUAGGUCCUACUGAUGAUGUUGUAGCAGAGUUGGGUAGCUACCUCGGCACAUUAGCAAGGAAUGCGGCCUUUUGUCCUCUUAAUGUGUUUAAUUGGAGGAAACUUUAAACAAAAGAAAAUAUGUGGAAAUAUAUCAAGGGAAAAUAUGAUAUUCCUGAUGCUGCAAAAAGUGGGUUUUUGAAUCAAUUCAGAAUGCUUGGAGAAAGUAUAAGAAUCAACUGCUUAACGACCAUUAUAAAGCCUAUGAGAAUGACGAGCUUCGGAUGGAGAAAAGGCCGGUUGAUAUUCCUGAAUCUCAAUUUAGGGAUCUUCUUAAUUAUUGGAACUCUGAUGCCUACAAGAAAAUGUCCCAAACCAAUACCGAGAAUCGCAAAAAUUUGAAAUAUCCACACACUGCUGGCAAAAGAAGUUUUGCUCGAAUAUGUGAGGAAAAAAAGAAAGAAACUUCUGAGUCUCUUUCAAGCAGGGACGUCUUUCUGGCUACAAGAAAAAGAAAAGUUGAUCGAGUAUACAAAGCCUCGUAUGCGGAUACUCUUAAUAAAAUUGUACGAGUUAUUAAUUUAAAGUUUGUUGUUAUCAUUUGUCUGUUCUUAAUUAUUGACUCAGUUUCAUAUACUUUCUGUUUUAAUAAUUACUCAAUUCGGUCUUUGUUA